rnacentral:rRNA from 1 species
ACCUCUUCGGAGGUCAGCGGCGGACGGGUGAGGAACACGUGGGUAAUCUGCCUUUCAGACUGGAAUAACGCCCGGAAACGGGCGCUAAUGCCGGAUACGCCCGAUGGGAGGCAUCUUUUGUCGGGGAAAGGGCCAACCGGUCCGCUGAGAGAGGAGCCCGCGGCGCAUUAGCUCGUUGGCGGGGUAACGGCCCACCAAGGCGACGAUGCGUAGCCGGCCUGAGAGGGUGAACGGCCACACUGGGACUGAGACACGGCCCAGACUCCUACGGGAGGCAGCAGUAGGGAAUCUUCCGCAAUGGGCGCAAGCCUGACGGAGCAACGCCGCGUGAGCGAAGAAGGCCUUCGGGUUGUAAAGCUCUGUUGUCGGGGAGAGUGGCGCGGGGAGGGGAAAGCCCUGCGCGAGACGGUACCGAGUGAGGAAGCCCCGGCUAACUACGUGCCAGCAGCCGCGGUAAAACGUAGGGGGCGAGCGUUGUCCGGAAUCACUGGGCGUAAAGGGUGCGUAGGCGGUCGAGCAAGUCUGGAGUGAAAGUCCGUGGCUCAACCAUGGGAUGGCUCUGGAAACUGCUUGACUUGAGUGCUGGAGAGGCAAGGGGAAUUCCACGUGUAGCGGUGAAAUGCGUAGAGAUGUGGAGGAAUACCAGUGGCGAAGGCGC